GAAAAUCUACACACCUGCAAAGUCCCUUUUGCCAUAUCAUCGGAAGAAACAAAAACAAGCUGUGGUGAAGAAGAAACGUUUUCUAAAGCCUCUUUUAUCCCCAGGAUGGUUGAGAAGUCAGAGGCCUGCAAUGCUAGGAAGAGAGGAUCUAAAAUGUCCUUUUCACCGUGAUGUAAGUAGGCUCUCCAGCAGUCCCAGAAGACUUUCACAAGAGGAGUUUCAGACAACAGAAAAUAAGCCUAAGUGAUUGUGUGAAUAUCACAGAGCAACAGAGAAAAUGUGGAUCACUCCAACUCUAGCACAAGGUCGGGGAGGAAAAAAAAUCAGAGAGUUUGGAAUUUCUAAAUGCUCGUGUUUGAGAAAUGGGGAGCAUCACAAACUAACAGCAGAGGUGGACAUUUUUUACAGGGUAAAGGAUUCCCAUGGAACAGCACUCGUCAAAUGCAAAUAAAAAUUGUACAAAGAAGGUAACUUCUUUCUCUGUCCCCACAUCUCUCCAUCUGAAACUUCAUUCUUCCAUUAAAACAGAAUUGUGCUUUGUGAU
rnacentral:antisense_RNA from 1 species